rnacentral:piRNA from 1 species
UCAACUUUUUUUUUCAGAAAU